rnacentral:rRNA from 1 species
UACGGGGGGGCAAGCGUUGUUCGGAAUUACUGGGCGUAAAGGGCUCGUAGGCGGCCAACUAAGUCGGACGUGAAAUCCCCAGGCUCAACCUGGGAACUGCGUCCGAUACUGGAUGGCUUGAAUCCGGGAGAGGGAUGCAGAAUUCCAGGUGUAGCGGUGAAAUGCGUAGAUAUCUGGAGGAACACCGGUGGCGAAGGCGGCAUCCUGGACCGGUAUUGACGCUGAGGAGCGAAAGCGUGGGGAGCAAACAGG